AACGCUAGCUACAGGCUUAACACAUGCAAGUCGAGGGGCAGCAUUGGAGUAGCAAUACUUCAGAUGGCGACCGGCGCACGGGUGAGUAACACGUAUCCAACCUGCCGCUUACUCGGGGAUAGCCUUUCGAAAGAAAGAUUAAUACCCGAUGGUAUAAUCAGACCGCACGGUCUUGUUAUUAAAGAAUUUCGGUUAUCGAUGGGGAUGCGUUCCAUUAGGCAGUUGGUGAGGUAACGGCUCACCAAACCUUCGAUGGAUAGGGGUUCUGAGAGGAAGGUCCCCCACAUUGGAACUGAGACACGGUCCAAACUCCUACGGGAGGCAGCAGUGAGGAAUAUUGGUCAAUGGGCGCAGGCCUGAACCAGCCAAGUAGCGUGAAGGAUGACUGCCCUAUGGGUUGUAAACUUCUUUUAUACGGGAAUAAAGUGAGCCACGUGAGGCUUUUUGUAUGUACCGUAUGAAUAAGGAUCGGCUAACUCCGUGCCAGCAGCCGCGGUAAUACGGAGGAUCCGAGCGUUAUCCGGAUUUAUUGGGUUUAAAGGGAGCGUAGGCGGACGCUUAAGUCAGUUGUGAAAGUUUGCGGCUCAACCGUAAAAUUGCAGUUGAUACUGGGUGUCUUGAGUACAGUAGAGGCAGGCGGAAUUCGUGGUGUAGCGGUGAAAUGCUUAGAUAUCACGAAGAACUCCGAUUG
rnacentral:rRNA from 1 species